GAUGAACGCUAGCGGCAGGCCUAACACAUGCAAGUCGAGGGGGAAGUUACUUUCGGGUGACUGAGACCGGCGUACGGGUGCGUAACGCGUAUACAAUCUGCCUUUCACUGGGGGAUAGCCCGAAGAAAUUUGGAUUAAUACCCCAUAGUAUAUAGGGACGGCAUCGUUUUUAUAUUAAAGCUUAGGUGGUGAAAGAUGAGUAUGCGUUCUAUUAGCUAGUUGGAGAGGUAACGGCUCCCCAAGGCGAUGAUAGAUAGGGGUUCUGAGAGGGAUGUCCCCCACACUGGUACUGAGAUACGGACCAGACUCCUACGGGAGGCAGCAGUGAGGAAUAUUGGACAAUGGUCGGAAGACUGAUCCAGCCAUGCCGCGUGCAGGAUGAAGGUCUUAUGGAUUGUAAACUGCUUUUGUAAGGGAAGAAUAAGGGCUACGCGUAGUUUGAUGACGGUACCUGACGAAUAAGCAUCGGCUAACUCCGUG
rnacentral:rRNA from 1 species